UAGUAAACCGCACCAGGUGACUUGAAGGUUGACUUGUGAUACAGGAGUGGGGGGCUUCCAGCGAAAGAGACGUGGUCUCCGACAUCCUUCUGAUUACUUAGGGCCAAUGCCUUGCUGUUAAAUGCAUAGAAAAGCAGUCUGAUUGUCUUGAAUGUGUAACCAAAGCCCGGCACCUUGUGUAAAUGAACGAGGACUUGAACGUCUGGGAGGAUGAAAGCAACACUUGUUGAAUACACGCAUGCUGCAUGAAUGAGCUCUUGGCCUCUGGUUUCCUGAAACGCAGGUCUCCCUUAUUACAGCAAAGCUCUCUGAGUCUGCCUUAAACCACACUUUCAGCUGGUUUCGGAGCUCAAGGUCACCCUCUUAGCUGUACCUGGGCUUUUAUACAGCAUACUUCCAUCAGCCAUCUGCGGCAGGCAGCACAAAAGCUUUCUGUUGUAACACAUCCGGAGAACAAGCUAUAUUUUGCUUUACAUACUUAAGUGAAGAAUGGGUCCCUGGUUGAACAUAAUGGAAGUCAUUUGUUCUGAAAAAAGCAAUUCAGAAAAAGAUAUCCCCUCAAAAGCUAGAGCAGUCCACUCCCCACUCUCUCCUUGACGUUCUGUGAAAGCUACUUGGGCUUAAGAGCAAUUUUGUGGGGGAGAAGGUGCUUUAGUUUCCCAUAAUGGCAGAGUCCAGGAAGCCUGUCUAAUAGCUGUAACUAUUUGCUCCUGAGAUGUGUGACUGGCCUCAUCUGAGGAGUAACGGGCUCCUUUAAGUGCCUGGCAGCCCCCAUUAGAGCCAGUUUGGAAGUGGCUUCUUCGGUUCUUAGCUGCAAUUUUGAGGCUCUCCAUCAGCGGGACGAGGGGAGAAAAACCUCUCACAUUCCGGGCACUGCCCUUGAGAAAGCCUUAUUCUUCAAUUCUCACGGCAGGAAAGCUGAGCACAAUUUUUUUUAACCAUUUUUGUCCCUGUUCUUUGGAGUUCCCCAAAUGGUAUCAUUUUGGCUUAGUACACAGAGAGGAGGUGAAAGGGGAGAGAAUCACCCCAAACUGCUCUUUUUUCUCAUUGUGCCCCUUUUUUCUUUCAGAUGUGGUGGUGGAUGUCAUCUCCCGCGUGACAGUCAUGGCUUUCCUAACCCUGAAAGCAGGACAGGCUGCAGAGCUCCUCCUGCAGCUUCUCAGCCCUGGGGGGUAGAGGAAGACAGCCAUAAUGCGGGGGGCAAUUCCUGCCCUCACUGGGUACCUGGAGGAACCGCGCAUGGAGUGCGGCUCUGCUCCAAUGCCAGUAGGAGCGAGAUUCUCAAGGCGCAUCUCAGGCCCGAAACAGGGUGCCCCGUCGAAGCCUUGCUUUAUGAUGGGAAGUGUCGAGUUAGCUGCCUGUGUCUUUGUUCCAGCUCUUCUAAGAGAGGCCCAACCCGUCCCACACGGGACUUCAGGGAAGUUCAUACCCUCCCCAGAAGUGACCAAUGGAAAAGACAGAGCAAGCCCUGGCCAGGCCAGGAUGCAGUCUCUGGAAACAGGUUGUUUUUGUCUCCACUGCCAUAGAAAACACAUCCUCUUGACUUAUUAAGGAGGGAAACGGCAUCAUCACACCCGCUGGAGGUUACCAAGGUGAACAGAAUCCAAGAUUAAAAUCUGCCAGCCCGGGGAUGCAUGGAAGCAUGGAAGGCCCAAAGAGGAAAUCGAGUUUGCUAUUGGUAAAUUUUUUUUGGACGCUGUUUACGUUUGAACUUUUCGCUGUUUUCCUGUCGAAACUUCCGUCCCCUCUUCCUGAGUCCCCACAAAGGCCUGGACAAUGCAGUGCCGGCGCUGCCAUCGGACGCGGCCGGGCCCCACCUUCCUCCUUCCUGCGGGGAUAUCCUCUCCUAUAGAAGAGAUGUAUCCGCUACCACCAGAAGCUGGGGACGUUUCCGCUCACCCCGAGAUGAAGGUGUCCUGCAUUUGCACAAAGGACAUCUUUCAGAAUUGGAAAUGAGUCAGUGUUCAAGUGGAGAUGCGAGGUACUGAUGCCAUCAUAUACCGGCCCACGGAACUUGGGCUUGCAGUACCCUCACACGCAUCCCUUGUUAGUGCCUUCUGGGACUGUGGAUCUUCACCACCUCCAUCUGUCAGGAGGAUGGCAAGCAACAGAAACUGACUAGAUGCAUGGACCACUCCAUCUGAAGCAGCCUCCCCAGCUGGUCUCCAUCUCACCACCCUGCUUGCUCUUUUCACAGCACUUGUGGAGUCCGUUUAUGUGCCUGGAAGGAGAGAGAGGCAUGGACCCAAAAGAGGAUCACAUGUCAGGACUCUGGAAUCUCGAGAUGGGCUGUGAAGCAGAGCAUCACAGGGAGCGAAGGAGUGUAGCUCCUCAGAUGGCGCCAUGGCAGACACAUCAUGCAUCCCACAUUAGGAUCACUGGUACCUGCUAGUUGGAUCCAGAAAUUCUGUGCUCCGGAGAAAUCUCCAUUAAAACUUGCCCCCUGGUCUUCCAUUGUCUCCAAGCCUUCCAUCUUGGUGGAUUUAUUCCUUAGAAGUCUCACCUGUUCAAAGGCAACAGAUAUGCUGAAGCCUCCAGAUAUGAUCUAUGCACUUCCUGCCCAGCAUAUCCUAGGAUAUCUUUCUAUACAUUUGUUUCUCAUUUUUCAGCUCAUGAAUAAAACAUAUGUCUACUUUACAUGGGAA